GCGGGAUGAAGGCCCUCGGGUUGUAAACCGCUUUCAGUGGGGACGAACCAAGACGGUACCCACAGAAGAAGCCCCGGCCAACUACGUGCCAGCAGCCGCGGUAACACGUAGGGGGCAAGCGUUGUCCGGAUUCAUUGGGCGUAAAGAGCUCGUAGGCGGUUCGAUAAGUCGGGUGUGAAACCUCCAGGCUCAACCUGGAGACGCCACCCGAUACUGUCGUGACUAGAGUCCAGUAGGGGAGCGUGGAAUUCCUGGUGUAGCGGUGAAAUGCGCAGAUAUCAGGAGGAACACCAGCGGCGAAGGCGGCGCUCUGGGCUGGAACUGACGCUGAGGAGCGAAAGCGUGGGGAGCGAACAGGAUUAGAUACCCUGGUAGUCCACGCCGUAAACGUUGGGUACUAGGUGUGGGGUCUUAUCAACGGAUUCCGUGCCGAAGCUAACGCAUUAAGUACCCCGCCUGGGGAGUACGGCCGCAAGGCUA
rnacentral:rRNA from 1 species